UACGUAGGUGGCGAGCGUUGUCCGGAAUUACUGGGUGUAAAGGGCGUGUAGGCGGGAAUGUAAGUCAGAUGUGAAAUUCCACGGCUCAACCGUGGCGCUGCAUCUGAAACUAUGUUUCUUGAGUGCUGGAGAGGAAAGCGGAAUUCCUAGUGUAGCGGUGAAAUGCGUAGAUAUUAGGAGGAACACCAGUGGCGAAGGCGGCUUUCUGGACAGUAACUGACGCUAAGGCGCGAAAGCGUGGGGAGCAAACAGG
rnacentral:rRNA from 1 species